ACCUUCAAUUCCCUUUACAAGCCCCUUCUUACUCUCCCCUACUACUCUAUAAUUGCAUUAGUAAGUGGCUCAUGAAAACAGCCAUGCAUUUUCUCCUCUCCCUGCAUAACCUAUGCGCACCCUCCUCUCAUCUCCUCCCUCUUACAACCAGCAGCCCACCCCUCUUCAAUCUCUCUUGAUAGCACCUAUUUUCUCUCCCUUUUAUUUCACUUUAAUGGCAUGGACACAUGCAGCAUGCAGCAGCCAUAAACCCCACCUUAUCUCCUCCUCUUUCCCUCACGCAAGCAUCAGAAGGGGCAUUUUAUCUCCUUCCUUCCUCCCCCAGCAGGGGGCCUCCUCCUCUUCUCCUCUCUCCCUCACACCACCACUAG
rnacentral:lncRNA from 1 species